GUAGGCUCAACCUUUCUUAUUGGAGGGUAAUAGACUGUGUAAUGGUAAAGUAAAACCUAAAGAAUAUCAACAUCUUGGACUCACAGGAUAUCUGCUUGCUAAUACUCAUUCAACAAAUCGCCUUGCAAGUCAUGUUCCCUUCUGUGUGUCUCUGUGAUGUAUAAUUUCACAUGCACACAUUUUGACAUCAAUCUCUUGUUCCCAGACAACCUUGCUUCAGACGUGGAAGCAUAUAAAGAAAAAAAAACAAUGCCCCCAAAUAAAUGUGUUUUAUAGCUUGUCCAUGGGCAACUUAAAUGCAGUACAUGUGCACGAGAGGAAGCAACUUAGAGAACUGGACUGGCUUUAUCUGGAUGAUCAUCAGAGCCAGAUUCUUCAAUGGCAGGUAGCCCUGGGAGACAGGAGUUCCAAUCAUGGUGCUUGGCUAUUGAAAUCGCGUUCCUUUGGAUCCUUCAGCACCACGGCCAACAGGGCACAAUAUAAAGACACCCGCCUGAUGAAGAAGAGGCUGAUGAGGCAGUGAUAGAAGUGUCUCUGACUGUUGGCCUUGUUUUGAAGACCCUGGAGAAACUCUUGAUGAAAACUUUUCCUUGUUGAUGAGGAGCUUUGGCCACACAGACCACCAGAAAGAGAAUGUCUUCAUGAUGUUUUAAAUUGUUGUACUGUGGUUUAUUUUUAUGGGCCUGAUGUCAUUCACUGUGUUACCAUCAAUCACAAUGACUACACUCAUCCCCUUUCAAUGCAUGUGUACAUUUCAGAUCAACACAGUAAAAAUAAAAACUUCCAAUGUUAUUUCCACUUUACACAAUUACAAAAGAAUGAAUACUACCAGCUUCUCUGCAAUUACUUUUACAGGGAUUCAAUGUGAAGCUAGUCAGCAUCUAGUCAGCAUCUAGUCAGUUGUUUCAGGAGGACGGGGAGCAUGCCUAAUUCAAUAAUAUACAUGAUAGUCAUGCAAUAGGCUGGCUAGUUUUGAUGGAUUCAAGGUUAAAUCUACUUAUUCAAGUGAUUUUGUCAGACCACUCAGUUUAUGACCAGUGUUUUGGACGGGUAUGACAUAUGCCAUAUGUUAACACAACAAAAGCUGGAAGCGGACAUGCAGUCAAAUGACCUUUAAUGUUCUUUAUUUCACUGUAAAAACCAGUCAACUCCAGUACGGUAUUCAAGCAAAUUGGAUUUGAAAUGAUACAAUUACUAGUAUUUCAGUGGUUCACAAUUUUUGCUUUAUUUUGAAGGUAUGUUUAUUUUGAAGGUACCAUAUCAGAUUAACCUUUAAGAGAUUGCAGAAUAUUUUCCCACAUGAAUACUACAACUGUAAAAAAAAAAAAAAAAGCCCCCUAUGGGGGUAGCUGUCCAAGUCACUGCCUUGCAAUAAAACUGUGUUGUUACAUACAGUCAGGUGUUUGAAUCUUAUCUUUGUUGUGGCAUAUUGACAAUGCCUGGGGGGGUCAUGCGCUUGGUGGAAACUUUCACUGUUAUUUGAAGGGUAAAAAAGGGUAACAUAAA
ensembl:lncRNA